rnacentral:rRNA from 1 species
CCUACGGGAGGCUGCAGUGAGGAAUAUUGCGCAAUGGGCGAAAGCCUGACGCAGCGACGCCGCGUGAAGGAUGAAGGUCUUCGGAUUGUAAACUUCUGUUAAGCGGGAAGAAAUCUCAAUUUUAAUAAAAAUUGAGUCUGACGGUACCGCUAGAGAAAGCACUGGCUAAUCUCGUGCCAGCAGCCGCGGUAAUACGAGAGGUGCAAACGUUAUUCGGAUUUAUUGGGUGUAAAGGGUGCGUAGACGGUUCAUUAAGUCUGUUGUUAAAUUUCUUG